rnacentral:lncRNA from 1 species
GUUAAACCAUGAAGCCUGUGAGAUCUUGUGUUGCAGUGUGGUUUGGCCCUAGAACUCUUGCAUGCUAACCCAAAGUAGAAGAUUAGCCUGUUGCAUGCAGCCGGAUGCUGCCCCUGACGAGACAAGCAUGUUGUGGAGGUUGACGCAACUCAACCUCCAUUGGCUGAGUUCCUCCCCAGUCCUGUGUGUGGCCUCAUUCACUGUGAUAUUAGGUUGAAAAAGCUUGUUGAUGAACGGGAAUGCUUAUUGGAACAGAUUAAGAAACUCAAAAGGCAGCUGGAAGAGAGGCAGAAGAAUGACAAGCUGGACCAUCUGCGCCCCGAAGAUGGUGUCUUAGAAAACGGAACAGAUAUGCAUGUGAUGGAUCUACAGAGUAAUAAGGUUAGAGAGUCAGGUAUCCCGUUAUAAAUCGGCUGCUGAAAAUGCAGAAAAAAUAGAAGAUGAACUUAAGGCUGAAAAAAGGAAACUCCAAAGAGAGCUUCGCUCUGCACUGGACAAAACAGAAGAGCUUGAAGUAAGCAACGGCCACUUAGUGAAGCGUCUGGAAAAAAUGAAAGCAAACCGGAGUGCGCUUAUGUCCCAGCAGUGAACACCAGCUCUGAGCGGGAACCCGACUGGUGAAUGGGGAGCAUUGUUUCCUAGGCUUUUCUCUGUUCCUGUUCUGGAAGCUGCUGCUUCCCCUGCUUCUGCAAGAACAUCCCAGUGAGCACUCGGCUCCCUCGUGCUCCCGAGCUGGCUCAACCAUGGGAGCCCCAGCAGCCACCAGAUGCCUCUGUCUGCAGACCCCGACCCCAGGCUGGGGCCAUCUCUCCAAACCUGCAGGUGAUUUAAUAAGCACACUGGGCCCAUGGGAGCCCUGUCUCCAAUGGCACAGCAGCCUCUUAAUGCCAUUUAAAAUGGUGAUCAAAGUAAAGAUUAAAGUGGGACUUGAGUUUUCUUUUCAUGUGUCUUGCUGAAAAUUAAGGGGAAAUGUUACAGCGUUGGGACUUCCUUUCCUGGCAGAAUCUACAAUUUGAGCGACUUCAGUAGUAUCUCUUAGUCCAUGCUUUUCACACACAAAACACUGUGGAACCACAAGCCAUUACCAAGCAAAACUCUCUCACUAGAAACAAGAGGAUGGUCUGGAAGUAAAAGUGACCUUAAGAAGACUCUUUCCAGGCAACAAAUGAAGCUUUUCUAAGGGAUUUUUGCAUCAGUUCAAUCAUAAGAAUACUUUUUUUCCAGGAUAAUUAGGCAACAGCUUCACUGAAAAUGACAGCUUUUCAUUUGCAUUAUUUAAUCCUUAUAUUUGGAAUUGAAGUUGUUAACUUCUUUUAAAGAAUGUAC